rnacentral:rRNA from 1 species
GUGUCAGCAGCCGCGGUAAUACGGAGGAUCCAAGCGUUAUCCGGAAUCAUUGGGUUUAAAGGGUCCGUAGGUGGAUAAUUAAGUCAGAGGUGAAAUCCUGCAGCUCAACUGUAGAAUUGCCUUUGAUACUGGUUAUCUUGAGUUAUUAUGAAGUAGUUAGAAUAUGUAGUGUAGCGGUGAAAUGCAUAGAUAUUACAUAGAAUACCAAUUGCGAAGGCAGAUUACUAAUAAUCAACUGACACUGAUGGACGAAAGCGUGGGGAGCGAACAGGAUUAGAUACCCUGGUAGUCCACGCCGUAAACGAUGGUCACUAGCUGUUCGGACUUCGGUCUGAGUGGCUAAGCGAAAGUGAUAAGUGACCCACCUGGGGAGUACGUUCGCAAGAAUGAAACUUAAAUGAAUUGACGGGG